rnacentral:lncRNA from 1 species
UCAUUACUUAUUUUCCAAUCCAAUCAUUCCCAAUAUAUACCUAUUUCCUAAUAUACCUACUCCCUAAUAUACCUACUUCUUAAUCCAAUUUAUUACCUUAAUUAAUCACACCAACCAAACCCACCUAAACCCUUAUAGCCGUUGGGUUUUUAUCCCUAUAAGUAUGAAUCACCACAACAUAAUCUCUAGGUUUUGGAUUCAAGUUCUUGGUCCUAAAUCACCAUCUCUAUUUCUUCAAUCUGCUUUCUGAAAUCUGCAAUCUGUCUUCUGAAAUUCCAAAUCAUCUGAUCAAGUCAUCUGUUCAUCUGGAGAUCAUUCAUCCGAUCUACUCAUCGUCUUCAUCAUCUCCAGCUCUCUACUCCUGCAAUCAUCUCGAAUCUGUAUAAUCAUUUAUCUUAAAUAUUAUCAUUCAUAAAGCAUUGUCAUUCAUAGAUCAUUAUAAAUAUUGUCAUUCAUAAUCUUAGUAGCAAUUCUAAUAUGGUAUCAGAGCAGUAAAGAUCUUGCUAAUUAUACAACAACAAGUUUUUUUUUCAUAAGUUAAAAGUUUUUUUUCUUCUUCCCCAUAAGUUAAAACUUUCCAAUUUGCUUCUUUUUCACAAGAUCAGCCUCCCUUUUCAGUUUCAUCAAAAGAAAUAAUCCAUAAUCAGGGUCAAUCUCACCAUCCCUACGAUUAACUCUAUCAGUGAUUUGCUGUGAAAAUUGUUUUAUAUCAUCCAAAUUUAUAACAGAAGUAGAAUCACUCCAUACUGUUGGAUCGUGAUCCGAGGCUAUAAGGGGGGAUGAUAGCCUCUUUUCGAUUUAUACAGGUUGAUAGCGGAAUUACCUGUAAAUGCUUAAUAAACAAAUGGUUGAACAGUAAUGAUAUAAGGAUAUUAUUAUUUUAAUUGAUAUAAUAAUGUAAGUAUUACUCUUUGAAGCUUACUACAGUAUAUGAAUACUGAGUCAACUUGUUUGAUAGUGUUUCACACACAACUAUAGUAUAUGAAUACUAAGUUAUAUUGGAAACACAAAUUGGAUUGUAGAGUAAAUGACCAGAUAACUGGAUAUAUUGAUACGCAAGUAAAUGACCAGAUAACUGGAUAUAUUGACAAGCAAGUAAGUGACCAGAUAACUGGAUAAGUUGAUAAACAAGUAAGUGAUCAGAUAACUGGAUAAAUAUGAUAAGUAAUACUUGAACAAAUAUAAGGAUUUAAAGCAAUGAAUGUAACCUCAGAUAGUUGACCAGAUAACUGGAUGAGGGAUCUGCGUAAAGUAGUCAACCUCUGUGUUUGACCAGAUAACUGGAAGAGGGAUCUUUUUAAUUAAGUGUUGCUUUUUUAAGUAAAAGAUAGAACUAUAAUUAACAGAGAACAACACAAGAGAUUUAUACUGGUUCACCCAAACAAGGGCUAGUCCAGUCCCGACCAACUGCCGGAAUUCACUCGCCUAAAGGUAAUGGCAAAACCUUUCUAAGCUUUAAGGCUACUUCGCUUAGGAACCAGUCUUUUACGGGUAGACUCACACCUUAGAGUAUCAAGGGAACUCUUAAGAAUCUCUAACUUUUACGGGUAAGUUAGUACCUUAGAGUAUCAAGGAACUCUUAAAAACCUCUCUAAGCUUUAAGGCUACUUCGCUUAGGAACCAGUCUUUUACGGGUAGACUCACACCUUAGAGUAUCAAGGGCACUCUUAAGAACCUCUAACUUUUACGGGUAAGUUAGUACCUUAGAGUAUCA